rnacentral:rRNA from 1 species
UACGAAGGGGGCUAGCGUUGCUCGGAAUCACUGGGCGUAAAGCGCACGUAGGCGGAUUCUUAAGUCAGGGGUGAAAUCCUGGAGCUCAACUCCAGAACUGCCUUUGAUACUGGGAGUCUCGUAGUCCGGGAGAGGUGAGUGGAACUGCGAGUGUAGAGGUGAAAUUCGUAGAUAUUCGCAAGAACACCAGUGGCGAAGGCGGCUCACUGGCCCGGUACUGACGCUGAGGUGCGAAAGCGUGGGGAGCAAACAGG